rnacentral:rRNA from 1 species
UGGGGAAUAUUGCACAAUGGGCGAAAGCCUGAUGCAGCGACGCCGCGUGAGGGAUGAGGGCCUUCGGGUUGUAAACCUCUUUCGCUCAUGGUCAAGCCGCAACAGUGGUUGUGGUGAGGGUAGUGGGUAAAGAAGCACCGGCUAACUACGUGCCAGCAGCCGCGGUAAUACGUAGGGUGCGAGCGUUGUCCGGAAUUAUUGGGCGUAAAGGGCUUGUAGGCGGUUUGUCGCGUCUGCCGUGAAAUCCUCUGGCUUAACUGGGGGCGUGCGGUGGGUACGGGCAGGCUUGAGUGCGGUAGGGGAGACUGGAACUCCUGGUGUAGCGGUGGAAUGCGCAGAUAUCAGGAAGAACACCGGUGGCGAAGGCGGGUCUCUGGGCCGUUACUGACGCUGAGGAGCGAAAGCGUGGGGAGCGAACAGGAUUAGAUACCCUGGUAGUCCACGCCGUAAACGAUGAGUGCUAGGUGUUGGGUCCUUUCCGGGACUCAGUGCCGCAGCUAACGCAUUAAGCACUCCGCCUGGGGAGUACGACCGCAAGGUUG